ACUGGAAACGGUAGCUAAUACCGCAUAACGUCGCAAGACCAAAGAGGGGGACCCUCGGGCCUCUUGCCAUCGGAUGUGCCCAGAUGGGAUUAGCUUGUUGGUGGGGUAACGGCUCACCAAGGCGACGAUCCCUAGCUGGUCUGAGAGGAUGACCAGCCACACUGGAACUGAGACACGGUCCAGACUCCUACGGGAGGCAGCAGUGGGGAAUAUUGCACAAUGGGCGCAAGCCUGAUGCAGCCAUGCCGCGUGUAUGAAGAAGGCCUUCGGGUUGUAAAGUACUUUCAGCGGGGAGGAAGGGAGUAAAGUUAAUACCUUUGCUCAUUGACGUUACCCGCAGAAGAAGCACCGGCUAACUCCGUGCCAGCAGCCGCGGUAAUACGGAGGGUGCAAGCGUUAAUCGGAAUUACUGGGCGUAAAGCGCACGCAGGCGGUUUGUUAAGUCAGAUGUGAAAUCCCCGGGCUCAACCUGGGAACUGCAUCUGAUACUGGCAAGCUUGAGUCUCGUAGAGGGGGGUAGAAUUCCAGGUGUAGCGGUGAAAUGCGUAGA
rnacentral:rRNA from 1 species